rnacentral:snRNA from 1 species
AGACAUUUGACAUGGGGUGGGAGGCACGAUCCCCAGGAUUGAUUUGACUGAUCUGGCUAGAUAGUUGGGUUUCCCCUCCCCCUUUCACCACUCCAUAUGCACCUCCUCUCAGAGGUAUGCCUUGGUCAAAGAGGACCUUCCCCCAAAUAGAGACAGAUCCAUCUAGUUCAAGGAUAUGAGAAGCUGUGCUUCCCAGUUAGGAUCUCCAAACAAGUUCUCAGCUUGACCAGGGAAACAUUACACAUAAUAAUGGAAACAGAUCAAGUUUUGUAGUUGAAAUUUGUUUUUGUUU